AUUGAACGCUGGCGGCAGGCUUAACACAUGCAAGUCGAGCGGAGAUGAGGUGCUUGCACCUUAUCUUAGCGGCGGACGGGUGAGUAAUGCUUAGGAAUCUGCCUAUUAGUGGGGGACAACAUUCCGAAAGGAAUGCUAAUACCGCAUACGUCCUACGGGAGAAAGCAGGGGAUCUUCGGACCUUGCGCUAAUAGAUGAGCCUAAGUCGGAUUAGCUAGUUGGUGAGGUAAAGGCCUACCAAGGCGACGAUCUGUAGCGGGUCCGAGAGGAUGCACCGCCACACUGGGACUGAGACACGGCCCAGACUCCUACGGGAGGCAGCAGUGGGGAAUAUUGGAAAAUGGGGGAAACCCUGAUCCAGCCAUGCCGCGUGUGUGAAGAAGGCCUUAUGGUUGUAAAGCACUUUAAGCGAGGAGGAGGCUACUGAGACUAAUACUCUUGGAUAGUGGACGUUACUCGCAGAAUAAGCACCGGCUAACUCUGUGCCAGCCGCCGCCGUAACAC
rnacentral:rRNA from 1 species